ACGGAAGGCAGCAGUGAGGAAUAUUGGUCAAUGGUCGGAAGCCUGAACCAGCCAAGUCGCGUGCAGGAAGACGGUCCUAUGGAUUGUAAACUGCUUUUGUACGGGCAUAAAGUGGGGGACGUGUCCCCCUAGGAAUGUACCGUAAGAAUAAGGGUCGGCUAACUCCGUGCCAGCAGCCGCGGUACUACGGAGGACCCGAUCGUUAUCCGGAUUUAUUGGGUGUAAAGGGUGCGCAGGCGGAGGAUUAAGUCAGCGGUGAAAUUCUCAUGCUCAACAUGAGAACUGCCAUUGAUACUGGUCCCCUUGAGAGAUGUCGAGGAUGGCGGAAUGUGAUGUGUAGCGGUGAAAUGCUUAGAUAUGUCACAGAACACCGAUUGCGAAGGCAGCUGUCCAGAGAUCUUCUGACGCUCAGGCACGAAAGCAUGGGUAUCAAACAGGAUUAGAUACCCUGGUA
rnacentral:rRNA from 1 species